rnacentral:tRNA from 15 species
GGCGGAUGUAGUUCAAUUGGUAGAAUGUUUCCUUCCCAAGGAAAAGGUCGCGAGUUCGAGCCCCGUCAUCCGCUU